rnacentral:rRNA from 1 species
AUUUUCCUACGGGAGGCAGCAGUGAGGAAUAUUGGUCAAUGGGCUUACGCCUGAACCAACCAAGUCGCGUGAGGGAAGACUGCCCUAUGGGUUGUAAACCUCUUUUGUCAGGGAGCAACGCCGGCUACGUGUAGCCGGACUGAGAGUACCUGAAGAAAAAGCAUCGGCUAACUCCGUGCCAGCAGCCGCGGUAAUACGGAGGAUGCGAGCGUUAUCCGGAUUUAUUGGGUUUAAAGGGUGCGUAGGCGGAAUGCCAAGUCAGCGGUAAAAUCGUGGGGCUCAACAUCCCUCCGCUGUUGA